GACGAACGCUGGCGGCGUGCUUAACACAUGCAAGUCGAACGGAAAGGCCCUGCUUUUGUGGGGUGCUCGAGUGGCGAACGGGUGAGUAACACGUGAGUAACCUGCCCUUGACUUUGUGAUAACUUCAGGAAACUGGGGCUAAUACCGGAUAGGAGCUCCUGCUGCAUGGUGGGGGUUGGAAAGUUUCGGCGGUUGGGGAUGGACUCGCGGCUUAUCAGCUUGUUGGUGGGGUAGUGGCUUACCAAGGCUUUGACGGGUAGCCGGCCUGAGAGGGUGACCGGGCACAUUGGGACUGAGAUACGGACCAGACUCCUACGGGAGGCAGCAGUGGGGAAUAUUGCACAAUGGGCGGAAGCCUGAUGCAGCAACGCCGCGUGCGGGAUGACGGCCUUCGGGUUGUAAACCGCUUUCGCCUGUGACGAAGCGUGAGUGACGGUAAUGGGUAAAGAAGCACCGGCUAACUACGUG
rnacentral:rRNA from 1 species